rnacentral:rRNA from 1 species
UGCCAGCAGCCGCGGUAAUACGUAGGUGGCAAGCGUUAUCCGGAAUUAUUGGGCGUAAAGCGCGCGUAGGCGGUUUUUUAAGUCUGAUGAGAAAGCCCACGGCUCAACCGUGGAGGGUCAUUGGAAACUGGAAAACUUGAGUGCAGAAGAGGAAAGUGGAAUUCCAUGUGUAGCGGUGAAAGGCGCAGAGGUGAUGGAGGAACACCAGGGGCGAAGGCGACUUUCUGGUCUGUAAAUGACGCUGAUGUGCGAAAGCGGGGGGACCAAACGGGAUGAGAUA